rnacentral:tRNA from 1 species
UCCGUAAUGGUGUAAUGGUUAGCAUUUCUGCCUCUCAAUAAAGAGCUAUACUAGCUUCUACAAGGUCGCAGGAGAUCAGGGUUCAAUUCCCUGUUACGGAA